rnacentral:pre_miRNA from 10 species
GGGAGACGUCUCCUGAGGCCAUUCUCAUCUCCUUAUCACUUUUCCAGCCCAGCUUCUUCACUGUAACUGUUGGACGGAGAACUGAUAAGGGUAUGCGAGUGACACGAGCGGCUGUCCCGGCU